AUGUUACAACCUGAAACUACAUGCCUAUGUCUGAUAAUCAGCUUGCUCAAGAUAAGUAAAGAAGUGGUAAUAGAUGCAACAAAUAAGGGAAACAUUCCACGUAUUAUAAACCAUUCUUGCAUGCCAAACUGCUUUGCAAGGAUUAUGAGUUUGAGUGAUGAGGAGAGCGUGAUUGUUCUUAUUGCCAAAACUAAUGUUUCUGCUGGUGAAGAACUAACGUACAAUUUCUUGUUGUCUUAA